rnacentral:rRNA from 1 species
UACGGAAGGCAGCAGUGGGGAAUAUUGCACAAUGGGCGCAAGCCUGAUGCAGCCAUGCCGCGUGUAUGAAGAAGGCCUUCGGGUUGUAAAGUACUUUCAGUCGUGAGGAAGGUGUUAAGGUUAAUAACCUUAGCAAUUGACGCUAGCGACAGAAGAAGCACCGGCUAACUCCGUGCCAGCAGCCGCGGUAAUACGGAGGGUGCGAGCGUUAAUCGGAAUUACUGGGCGUAAAGGGCACGCAGGCGGUUAAUUAAGUUGGAUGUGAAAUCCCCGGGCUUAACCUGGGAAUGGCAUUCAAGACUGGUUAGCUAGAGUCUUGUAGAGGGGGUAGAAUUCCAUGUGUAGCGGUGAAAUGCGUAGAGAUGUGGAGGAAUACCGGUGGCGAAGGCGGCCCCUGGGACAAAGACUGACGCUCAUGUGCGAAAGCGUGGGGAGCAAACAGGAUUAGAUACC